CAGAGUUCAUGCCCUUUAGGGUAGACCUCCCACCCUUGAGUACUAUACUUUUGUUGCUUUGGCAGGCCCGUCGGGUUCACGCCUGGCUACCGGCUCCGGCUGGUAAGUGUCUGCCAGAGGACCUAAACUCUGAAUUUUACGUCGUCUGAGUACUAUAUAAUAGUUA
rnacentral:misc_RNA from 1 species